UUUCGCCAAUGGUUGUGUCGCCGCGUGCGAGGCGCCUUGCGCAGAGGUCAACAUAAUUGUCACGAGCCAGUGUGAUCUAAUUCAUUUAGGGUCCACUAGGGUAAUGACUCGUUUAACUUUUGAGAAAAAUUAAAGUGUUCAAAGCAGGCAUUUUGCCUUGAAUAAUUGUUAGCAUGGAAUAAUAAGCAUAAGAACUUCGGUUCUAUUUGUUGGUUGUUCGAGAACUGGAGUAAUGAUUGAUAGGGACGGUUGGGGGCAUCCGUAUUCUCAAGCGAGAGGUGAAAUUCUUGGACCUUGGGAAGAACGAACAGCUGCGAAAGCGUUUGCCUAGGACGUUCUCUUUAAUCAAGAACGAAAGUUGGGGGAUCGAAGACGAUCAGAUACCGUCGUAGUCUCAACUAUAAACUAUGCCAGCUAGGGAUCGGUGGGUCUUUGUCACGAGUCCAUCGGCACCUUACGAGAAAUCAAAGCAUUUGGGUUCCGGGGGGAGUAUGGUCGCAAGGCUGAAACUUAAAGGAAUUGACGGAAGGGCAUCACCAGGAGUGGAGCCUGUGGCUUAAUUUGACUCAACACGGGAAAACUUACCAGGUCCGGACAUAGUAAGGAUUGACAGAUUGAAAGCUCUUUCUUGAUUCUAUGGGUGGUGGUGCAUGGCCGUUCUUAGUUGGUGGAGUGAUUUGUCUGGUUAAUUCCGUUAACGAACGAGACCCGCGCCUGCUAAAUAGUCGGCCUCACUUCUGUGGGUGUUGUACUUCUUAGAGGGACCAUCCUGGGUAUACCGGAAGGAAGUUGCGGGCAAUAACAGGUCUGUGAUGCCCUUAGAUGUUCUGGGCUGCACACGGGCUACACUGCAAGAUACAACAAGCGUCGAUCACGCCUGACUGGAAGGUCCGGCCAAUCUUUGAAUAUCUUGCGUGAUUGGGAUAGACCAUUGCAAUUAUUGGUCUUCAACGAGGAAUUCCUAGUAAACGCGUGUCAACAACACGCAUUGAUUACGUCCCUGCCCCUUGUACACACCGCCC
rnacentral:rRNA from 1 species